AUGGAUGUCUACUUGCCGGGCUGCCCACCUAAACCGGAGGCAGUUAUAGAUGCCCUAACAAAACUUCGUAAGAAGAUAUCGCGAGAAAUAGUUGAGGAUCGAACUCUAUCUCAAAAUAAAAAUAGAUGUUUUACUACCAGUCACAAGCUUCAAAUUCAAAGUGGAUUCGCCCUCGGAAACGCUCUGGUGUAA
rnacentral:rRNA from 1 species